CCUACGGGAGGCAGCAGUGGGGGAUAUUGCACAAUGGGGGGAACCCUGAUGCAGCGACGCCGCGUGGGUGAAGAAACGCCUCGGCGCGUAAAGCCCUGUCAGCAGGGAAGAAAAUGACGGUACCUGAAGAAGAAGCCCCGGCUAACUACGUGCCAGCAGCCGAGGUACUACGUAGGGGGCAAGCGUUAUCCGGGUUUACUGGGCGUAAAGGGGGCGCAGACGGCGAUGCACGCCAGGAGUGAAAGCCCGGGGCCCAACCCCGGGACUGCCCUUGGAACUGGGUGGCUGGAGUGCAGGAGGGGCAGGCGGAAUUCCUGGUGUAGCGGUGAAAGGCGUAGAUAUCAGGAGGAACACCGGUGGCGAAGGCGGCCUGCUGGACUGCAACUGACGUUGAGGCCCGAAAGCGUGGGGAGCAAACAGGAUUAGAUACCCCAGUAGUC
rnacentral:rRNA from 1 species